rnacentral:rRNA from 16 species
GACGCUCUUCCGAUCUAGCUCUUUCUUGAUUUUGUGGGUGGUGGUGCAUGGCCGUUCUUAGUUGGUGGAGUGAUUUGUCUGCUUAAUUGCGAUAACGAACGAGACCUUAACCUACUAAAUAGUGGUGCUAGCAUUUGCUGGUUAUCCACUUCUUAGAGGGACUAUCGGUUUCAAGCCGAUGGAAGUUUGAGGCAAUAACAGGUCUGUGAUGCCCUUAGAC